rnacentral:rRNA from 1 species
GGAACCGGGAGGAGGUAAGAGGUACUACAGGGGUAGGAGUGAAAUCUUGUAAUCCCUGUGGGACCACCUGUGGCGAAGGCGUCUUACCAGAACGGGUUCGACGGUGAGGGACGAAAGCUGGGGCACGAACCGGAUUAGAUACCCGGGUAGUCCCAGCCGUAAACGAUGCUCGCUAGGUGUCAGGCAUGGCGCGACCGUGUCUGGUGACCGCAGGGAAGCCGUGAAGCGAGCCACCUGGGAAGUACGGCCGCAAGGCUGAAACUUAAAGGAAUUGGCGGGGGAGCACAACAACGGGUGGAGCCUGCGGUUUAAUUGGACUCAACGCCGGACAACUCACCGGGGGCGACAGCAAUAUGUAGGCCAAGCUGAAGACUUUGCCUGAAUCGCUGAGUAGAGGUGCAUGG